AACGAACGCUGGCGGCAGGCCUAACACAUGCAAGUCGAACGAGCAUUUCGGUGCUAGCGGCGGACGGGUGAGUAACGCGUGGGAACGUGCCCUUUUCUGCGGAAUAGUCCUGGGAAACUGGGGGUAAUACCGCAUACGCCCUUUUGGGGAAAGAUUUAUCGGAGAAGGAUCGGCCCGCGUUGGAUUAGGUAGUUGGUGGGGUAAUGGCCCACCAAGCCGACGAUCCAUAGCUGGUUUGAGAGGAUGAUCAGCCACACUGGGACUGAGACACGGCCCAGACUCCUACGGGAGGCAGCAGUGGGGAAUCUUAGACAAUGGGGGCAACCCUGAUCUAGCCAUGCCGCGUGAGUGAUGAAGGCCUUAGGGUUGUAAAGCUCUUUCAGCUGGGAAGAUAAUGACGGUACCAGCAGAAGAAGCCCCGGCUAACUCCGUG
rnacentral:rRNA from 1 species